GUGGUAUCUGAGGAACAGAAAGUAAAAAGAGGAAGAUGCUGGUGCAGUGGCCGGCUCCAUUCUGUGUCAGUGGAGAGUACACCGCCACGGCCAUGCACCUUACAGGUGAAAGAAGAGGGAACACAGAAAUGAAGCCGGCUAUUCGCGCUGCAUACAGCUUCCUUGCUAAUGCACCUGGAAAAGCAGUAUAAGAUGUCCCGAGUCCUUUGGCCCCUGCACCUAUGUGGGAGUCCCGGAAGAAGCCCUGGCUCCUGGCUCCUGAAUUCAGAUCAGUGCAGCUGCAGCCACUGUAACCAUCUGGGGAGUGAACCAGCGGAUGGAAGAUCCUUCUCUCUCUCUUUCUCUCUGGCCACCCCGCCCCCCAGCCCUAUAACUCUAUCUUUCAAACAAAUAAAUAAAUCUUUAAAAAAAAAAUCCUGAUGCCCAAGUA